UACUUCAACAUAAUAAAGGUCAUAUAUGAAAAAUCCACAGCUAAUACCAUCCUCAACAGGAAAAAACAGACCUUUUCCUCUGCAGUCAGGAACAUGGCAGGGAUGUCCCCUAUCACCAUGUUAUUCAACAUAGGAAGUCCUAGUCACAACAAUCAGACAGCAAAAAGAAACAAAAGGCAUCCAAAUAGGCAGUGAAGUAGUAAAAUUUUCACUACAUGCAGAUGACAAGAUACUAUGAAAACCCUGAAGACACCACCAAAAAAUUCUAGAA